rnacentral:rRNA from 1 species
GAUGAACGCUAGCUACAGGCUUAACACAUGCAAGUCGAGGGGUAACGAGAGGAAAGCUUGCUUUCCUUGUCGACGACCGGCGCACGGGUGAGUAACGCGUAUCCAACCUGCCCCCAACUAAGGAAUAACCUUGCGAAAGUAAGACUAAUACCUUAUAAUUUCCUCAGAUGACAUCUGACGAGGAAUAAAGAUUUAUCGGUUGUGGAUGGGGAUGCGUCUGAUUAGCUUGUUGGCGGGGUAACGGCCCACCAAGGCAACGAUCAGUAGGGGUUUUGAGAGGAAGGUCCCCCACAUUGGAACUGAGACACGGUCCAAACUCCUACGGGAGGCAGCAGUGAGGAAUAUUGGUCAAUGGGCGGAAGCUUGAACCAGCCAAGUAGCGUGCAGGAUGACGGCCCUAUGGGUUGUAAACUGCUUUUAUACAGGAAUAAAGUUAGCCACGUGUGGUUAUUUGUAGGUACUGUAUGAAUAAGGACCGGCUAAUUCCGUGCCAGCCGCCGCCGUAA